rnacentral:lncRNA from 1 species
CUACAACGAAUUCUUGCAUUACAUUUGAAUACAAUUCCAUCAUUUCAAUCCUACGAUAUCCAGCCAUUUCUUAGUUACCAGUAAUAAUCCUCGCUUCACUUUAAUUCUUCAGGUUUUCCAUUAUUUAAACGCUCAAUUAGCUUUAUGUUUAACCAAUUUGUUAAUCUCCACGGGCAUUUAAACUAAACUUGCUAACGACUUCUACUCGAAAUACAUAAUUUUUGAUGGAAUGUGCGAGUCUGCAUUUUGAGAAUCUCAUCGAAACCAAACUGGAUUUCGAGUCUACAUGCGUUGGCCAGCCGCCUAAGCCCACAUAAAUACUGGCUUACGUAUGUUCGCUUAUUUUCUGUAUAGAACCUUAGCGAGUGUCAUAAAAACUGAAAUUGCCCAAGCACUCUGGCCAUAUAUGUAUAUGACUGCCUGUCAAAAUUAACAUUUCAGUCACACAAUGACCUUCACCUAGAAGCCAUCAAAUCGUACCCAAGCGGCGGCCCAGCCCGGGCUCGGUCGGAAACCAAAACCAAACCAAAACCAAAGCCAAAGCCAAAACCAACUUCAACUUGACGAC